GUGUAUCUUCUCCAGUUGGUAGAGCAUGAGACUCUUAAUCUCACAGUCAAGGGUUCGAGUCCUGCGUUGGGCA